AAGAGGAGGGGGGAAACAAACAAAUAAGGUAGAAGCAACAGUGAAAAAAUGGUAUACAGGCCUGGUGGGCUCAUCCUGGGAAAGCUGUCUCUUUCGGCUUUCAUCUGCUUCAAUUCCUGGAAUUUUUAUUUUUAGGUCAUCAGUUGGUAUGUAUAGGUCUGUUCAGGAUUUGGUGUUUUGUUUUGUUUUUUAGAUGUGACAUGUGAAUCUAGGAGUCUAUUUCUUGGAAUUUUCUGGCACAAGGAUUGGUUAAAUUGUACUUGUUGGGAGUCUUGCCAAUGAGACCGAAUGGAGUCUUUUUGGAGAUGUCUUUUCUAAUAGACGAAAUCUACAGGUUGUAAGAAGCUUCUGUACAUCAAUCAAGGAGCACAUUCUAUUGUCUCUCAGAAGUUUGGAUUCCUCUCUUCUAAGGGUCCCUUUAAGAUGAGAAAACUGAGAUGUAGAAAGGUCAAGUGACUUGUCCGAAGUAAAACAGCUAGAAAGUUUUGGAGGCAAGAUUCAAACUUAAGUCUGGCUGAUUUCAAAGUCCCAAGCCCAAUGACUUCCACCCUACUGGAAAGACAAAGGCGAGCAGCUGCAGCAGGAACCAGGCCAUUCCGCCCCUGGUAUGAACAACAGUGGUAACAAAGCAGAAACAAGAACUGAUGUUUAUUUCGAGCCAGUCUCUUUGAAAACAUUAUCUCCUAGGGUUCACCAGCCUAAGGGAUGCAAAUUGGUCCUACUGCCAUUCAGUAUAUUGAAGAAGUCUCUUAUUUGGAAUUUGAAAUUGUGACAAGAAACCCCAUUCUAGGAAGGAAGCAUCUUGAUAAGUGAAAGGGAUUUAUUUUGAUCUGUUUUCUUCUGUAAACAUGGGGCUUGAAUUCAAGGUGCAACGCUGUGCCUUUGGAGAAACCGCUUUUCUCUAGACCUCAGAGAGGAGAGGGACUGAGCCUGCAGCUCUCAGGGGAAGGGGAGAGAGCCCACAAAGGCAUGGGUGGGCACAGCCUCUCCUGUGCCAUCAGGCCUUCACUGCAUUCUGGAAAAACCACUCUGUAGUGUGGAAGGGAAUGCCGGAGAAUGUGAAGCCACACUUAAGCAUGCUUGGGGGGCCUGGUCAGUGCCCAGUAGGCUGUCAGCACAGGACCCCAGAGUCCAAAGGCUCCUAGCAGUCCCUGAAUGCCUGCUGACGCCUUACAUCACACACUGGCUUCCUCUCCUCCGUGUCUCUCUCAUUCCUCAAGUGCUUCCAGGGCUCACCAUUGUUGAGAGAAAACAAGAUGGAGUAAGACUCGAGCAAGCUGGGACAGGAAG